GAAGAUGGUCGUGGGAAAGAGACAGGCGUAAGUUUGUUCGGAGUGCAUAUUUUAUUGAAGUUAAAACUAAGAUGGUUCCAAAGUGCCCAGUGACGUGUGUUGUGAUUUAUUAUAAUCAGUGAACAUCGAAAACCUACACAGGUACAAACUGCUCUAAUUCUAAUAAGAAGUCGUUCCUGUUUGUUCCAUUACUUGUGUGAGUCGUUGCUUGUGCAGUUCAGCCAUGAAGUCGUCUGGAUGACGUCACAGUUGAAGAUAUUUCCCGACUUCUACCAUUUCCAGCACAACAAGGUCGCAAAGAGAUCUGCGGGGCCUAGCUUCGAGCACCAUGAAAAUCUACUGAGGGAGCCGCAGGUGAAGUGGGCAAAGCAGCAAGCGGUCAGGUCGCGGCGGAAGAGGGACCUUCUGCCUCUCCGUCAGCGGUCUUACCGAGCGAACCUCAACGACCCGCGGUGGCCGCAGAUGUGGUACCUGAACCGAGGGCAGGGCCUGGACAUGAACGUCCAACCUGCUUGGAUGGAAGGCAUCACUGGCGUAGGCGUCGUGGUCACCAUCCUAGACGACGGGCUCGAGAAGGACCACCCUGACCUGUUCAGAAAUUACGACCCACAAGCAAGCUACGAUGUUAACAACCAUGAUGAUGACCCGAUGCCUAGGUAUGACUUAAUCGACUCUAAUCGCCACGGAACACGUUGUGCUGGUGAAGUUGCAGCCACUGCCAAUAAUUCUUUGUGUGCCGUUGGCGUAGCUUAUGGUGCUAGCGUUGGUGGUGUAAGGAUGCUGGAUGGAGAUGUGACAGACGCUGUGGAGGCCCGGUCCCUGAGUCUCAAUCCACAGCAUAUUGAUAUUUACAGCGCCUCCUGGGGACCGGAUGAUGACGGAAAGACCGUGGAUGGCCCAGGGGAACUGGCCACAAGGGCUUUCAUUGAGGGUGUCACAAAGGGCCGAUCUGGGAAAGGUUCUAUUUUUGUUUGGGCAUCUGGUAAUGGAGGUCGCGAUUAUGAUAAUUGCAACUGUGAUGGCUACACAAAUUCCAUCUGGACGCUGUCCAUCAGUAGCGCAACAGAAAAUGGGUAUGUUCCUUGGUACUCAGAGGCAUGCAGCUCAACUCUUGCUACUACGUACAGCAGCGGGGCUUCUGGAGAGAAACAGGUUGUGACUACAGAUUUACACCACCAGUGCACAAGUAGUCACACUGGAACAUCAGCCUCGGCACCAUUGGCGGCUGGCAUCUGUGCCCUGGCACUCGAAUCAAACAGAGAACUGACAUGGCGAGACAUGCAGCACAUCGUAGUUCGCACUGCACGGCCUGCCAGCCUGAAGUCUUCCGACUGGAAGGUGAAUGGUGUUGGGAGAAAUGUGAGCCAUUCUUUUGGUUAUGGGCUGAUGGACGCUUAUGAAAUGGUGAAGCUGGCUCGCAACUGGAAGACUGUACCAGAGCAGCACAAAUGUGAAGUUUCUGCACCACACACAGAGAAACUUAUACCACCAAAGAGUCAUGUGAGUCUCCAGCUUCAUGUAAGGGAGUGUGCUGGUGUUAACUUCCUUGAACAUGUUCAGGCUAAAGUAAGCCUUGCAUCAACCAGAAGAGGCGACCUUCAGAUCCAUCUAACCUCUCCAGCUGGAACCCGAGCCACUCUGUUAGCCCGUCGUCCUCAUGAUGUCUCGCGCGCCGGUUUCCAGGCCUGGCCAUUUAUGUCUGUCCAUACCUGGGGAGAGAAGCCCUUUGGCAUAUGGCAGCUAGAAAUACAUAAUGAGGGCCGUUUUCUGGGACGUGCCACUCUGCAGGAAUGGGCUCUUAUAUUUUACGGUACUGCAGUCACACCUGAUGGCCAUGGAGGUCACGGUUCACCUAUCCCGUCUCUGCGUGUUACCAACACUGGUUCUUCCUCACCAUCUAAACCUUCCCGUCCGCUGGUGCUCGUUUCCCCGCCCUAUGUUAUGCCUUCCCUGAAAAAAUAUAAGAAUUCUCAGAGAAACAAUACCAAGACAGGAAAGUUGACACCCCCAAGAACACUUAUUACAACAACCACUCCUGGCCAUACAUCUUUCUUAAAGGUGCUGCAGCCAACUCCUCCAGCCAUUCAUAAACCUAGGUUAAAAAGCACAACAGCUGCAGCUCCUGCUGCUGUUCCCAAGAGACUAAGUUCCAAUUCUACAUCUACAAUAACAACAAAAACAGUCACUACCACGACUGUCCCACCUACUCUGUAUACCAACAUCUCCCUCCCAAGUCAGCUUUCAUCAGCACCAACCACACUACCAGUUAGUUCUACCAUUUCACCCACAACAUUAACCACCACGGUCAUAUCUAAAACUACCUCUACUACCACAACUUUACAUAGUGACCUAACAAUAUUAUUAGAACCACAUUCUAACCCCCCACCUAAAGUACCAGAUAUAUUCAAACAAUAUCCUAAAAUCCAAAAAGUAUAUCCUUUAUAUUCUCUUACUAACAAGGGCAGGAUAGAUCUAUCCUCGUUUCAUCAUCCUCCUGCUAACUUGGUGCCUAAUUUGGAACUCAUUCAGGAGAACUCCCGGCUCCACCAGGGUGAAGGAACAAUGGCAGAUUGGAAGCUGGUUUUCUAUGGUACAGAAAUAGCCCCUGAAGGCGAUGAGCAUGAAGAUGAUGACAUCAAUACUGAAAUUAGUGGCAGUAAAGUAGACUUGAAGCCAAGUGAGGUCCUCAGCCGUGAUGAGGAGGAUCCAGAGCACAACAACGUGGAACCUGUUAAAGGGGGUGUGUGGAAGGAGGUUCAUCAGGUGGAUCACACUCGCAAUGAAGUACAGCGCACUACCACCGAAGAUGACACAGCCUCAGCAUCUACAGGAUGUCUUGCCCUCUCCAAGAAGAGUCAGCAAUGUAUAGUUAUUUCUUCUGGCUGAAUGUGGAUCCGUGAUUUUGAAGAAAACAACUGUUCAGGUAGGUGCUUGCUAGCCCAUUGUGUUAACCUUCCAACUGUUGUAACAUUUGUCUUAACAUUUGUGUAGAAUAGUUGUGUGUAGAGCUUAUUGAAAGGGAAGUUGAAAUAAAAAAUGUGGUGCAUAUAUUUAAAACUGAACGUGUCCAACUAUGGUAAAAAAUGUAUGUUGGUUCUAUUUAAAAUCUGUGUAAAUCAUAAUAAAACUAAAGUGACAUUGUUUGCAAAAUUUUGUUUCCCAUUGAAAGUGACGAAUUUGACAAGUCUGCAAACUCUCAGUAAUUUUGAAUAUGAUACCAGUUUUCUUGUAAUAGUGGUAAUAGAGUUCUGUUAUCAUGUUAUUAUGUAAUUUUAAUAUAUUGCCUUUAAUGGGGCCAAAGGUGUGAAUUUGGAUGCACCUAAGUAGCACAUUCACUCAAACUGUGCCUCUACUGACUGUAGAAAAUAUUUGAACAAACUGCCCAUAGCCAAUAAUAUUUAUGCAGGUAUAUAGUUCUAAUAGCAUAGCACUCAGUAUCAUUACAAUGUUUAAAGUGUAAAUGGUGAGUUCAUAAAUCAAAUUAAUGUUUUGCAUAUGAUGUGCAUAGCUGUUUCUUUACAGUUCCCCUCAGCUAUACUGAAUGUGUGUACCAGAGUAGUUCCAGAUCUUGAGGAAAAUUCAAAUCUGUGUUUGAGUGAAAGUGAUUAUAGACUUUAAAAGAAUUAUAUUUGUCCCACACUCACAAUCCUACCUGAGUGAUAAGUCAAGUGGGAACAUCCUUCUCGGUAACUUUGCACAUUUAUAUCAGUUUUAAAAGUUCUCCAAGUGCAAUAAGUUUGAGGCUGUUGGUUUCCUUCCUUGAUGUCACUGCAUUGCUUUUCUAAAAGAUUUUUUAAUUUUAAACUUUGUAUGAUUGAAAUUAUCCCAUAGUAUCAGAAUUCGAACUUCGAGAUGGGGAAUAGUCAAUUUCUUUUUUGGUGCUGAGAAUAUCAAAAUUCUUAAGAUUAUAUUCCAUAACCUUUUUAAUAAAGAAACAAAACACAGUACUUUCCAUUGUGGUUGUAUAUGUUGCGUCAUGACACAUACAGGACAUUUUUACUGUAGUAAUGAUUUGGCAGUCAUUUUCUAUUUUAUAUUGCCACCCACAAGUUACAGUGUGUAACCUGUAUCAUACAGAAGCAGGGGAUUUUUACCCUCUUGAACUGCAAGACUGUCAGCUAGACUUUAACUUCAGGGUGAAUGAUAUGCUACCUUGACACUUGGGCUGCUGGACUAUGCAUAAGCCAUAAAGCAUGGUGGUAGAGGCUAAAAGAGUUGUUUUGUUUAUAUAUUAUUAUAUAAUUGUUUGCAGUGAAACUUUGUAACGCUGUAAAUGAAAAUGUGAUGAACUUCACUAUGUACAUACAGGUAAAAUAUAAAACCCAGUUGGUUUUUAAGCAUAAAUGAAGAUGUUCUUACUGUUGGAUCAACUCUGAAUGUAUUUACCUGUUCAAACUGUAUUUUUAUUUUUAAAUUAAGUUCUUAAAUUAUAAGAACCAUAUUUCAGCAUAUGACAUCCACAGUCUAGUGGUAUGAUAUCAGAUUUUUUUCCAGACGUAUGAAUCAGAAACAAAAGUGAUUUCUCAUGGACAGUUUAGUUUUAAAAUAUGAUCCACACAUGCAGUUUAGCUGUGUAUAGUUUAGAUACUUGUGACUGUCAGCUUUGUGUGUGUUUUGCACUUAUUUGAAACUUAGCAGAUUGUUUCAAGAUACAAACAGGUGGCGGGCUUCUUAAGCUUCUAGACAUUCAUUCGAUUGGUCUCAGCCGAGCCUAAGAGAAAGUUGAUGGUUGCAAAGGAAAAUCUUCGGGGGACAACUCAAAACUGAUGAAUGUGUGUGUAAAGGGGCUGUUUCUGCACAAUGGGCGAUGCGAGGCAGCAUGUCCCGAGCGAUACUUCCCAAGUCUCGAUGCCAAGUCUCAACCUGUCUGCUCAUACUGCCACUACACCUGCAAGACAUGUUCAGGCUCAA